UACGUAGGGGGCAAGCGUUGUCCGGAUUUAUUGGGCGUAAAGAGCGUGUAGGCGGCCAGGUAGGUCCGUUGUGAAAACUCGAGGCUCAACCUCGAGACGUCGGCGGAAACCCUCUGGCUAGAGUCCGGAAGAGGAGAGUGGAAUUCCUGGUGUAGCGGUGAAAUGCGCAGAUAUCAGGAGGAACACCAGUGGCGAAGGCGGUGCUCUGGGCCGGAACUGACGCUGAGGAGCGAAAGCGUGGGGAGCAAACAGG
rnacentral:rRNA from 1 species